AUUGAACGCUGGCGGCAUGCCUUACACAUGCAAGUCGAACGGCAGCGGGCCCUUCGGGGUGCCGGCGAGUGGCGAACGGGUGAGUAAUGCAUCGGAACGUACCCGGGAGUGGGGGAUAACCGGCCGAAAGGCUGGCUAAUACCGCAUGAACUCGGAAGAGCAAAGCGGGGGACCUUCGGGCCUCGCGCUCUCGGAGCGGCCGAUGUCCGAUUAGCUAGUUGGUGAGGUAAAGGCUCACCAAGGCGACGAUCGGUAGCGGGUCUGAGAGGACGAUCCGCCACACUGGGACUGAGACACGGCCCAG
rnacentral:rRNA from 1 species